rnacentral:rRNA from 1 species
UUCUGGUCUCAAAUCAGGUAGGAUCACCCGCUGAACUU